rnacentral:misc_RNA from 1 species
UCCACAAAGCCAAAACAAUUCUUUUCUUGCUUGUAGCUUCUGACUUGAACACCAUUAGGUUUAAUAGGCCCAAAUUUCUCAAAAGUCUCUACAAGUUGCUCAACAGUUGCAUUCAUGGGCAAAUUGGCAACAAAGAUGGAGUAACCCUUAACUGAAUCGACACUGUUCUUUUCCACAGAUUUGUUAUUAGCUGGAGGUGCGGAUACUUCAGGCACCACCGUUGCACACAAAUGUUCUAUAGGUUUGGCAGGUAAAAUCCUUUGUUGGAAUGGUUGCUUCUUAUAAUUCAAUGCAUUAGCAACAGAAGCGUAUGAUUUCUUUGGAAGAUCCUCAUGGGCAUUAGAAAAAGUUGCCUCUGAAAUUGAGCAAGAAUCACUUUGGACUGAAGC